AUUGAACGCUGGCGGAAUGCUUUACACAUGCAAGUCGAACGGCAGCACGGGGGCAACCCUGGUGGCGAGUGGCGAACGGGUGAGUAAUACAUCGGAACGUGCCCAGUCGUGGGGGAUAACGUAGCGAAAGUUACGCUAAUACCGCAUACGAUCUCAGGAUGAAAGCGGGGGACCGUAAGGCCUCGCGCGAUUGGAGCGGCCGAUGGCAGAUUAGGUAGUUGGUGAGGUAAAGGCUCACCAAGCCUGCGAUCUGUAGCUGGUCUGAGAGGACGACCGGCCACACUGGGACUGGGACACGGCCCAGGCUCCUACGGGAGGCAGCAGUGGGGAAUUUUGGACAAUGGGCGCAAGCCUGAUCCAGCAAUGCCGCGUGCAGGAAGAAGGCCUUCGGGUUGUAAACUGCUUUUGUACGGAACGAAACGGCGAGCUCUAAUACAGUUUGCUAAUGACGGUACCGUAAGAAUAAGCACCGGCUAACUACGUGCCAGCCGCCGCCGUAA
rnacentral:rRNA from 1 species